ACCCUUAGAUGUCCUGGGCCGCACGCGCGUUACACUGAUGCAUUCAACGAGCUUAUAACCUUGGCCGAGAGGCCUGGGCAAUCUUGUUAACGUGCAUCGUGAUAGGGAUAGAUUAUUGAAAUUAUUAAUCUUGAACGAGGAAUUUCUAGUAAACGCAGAUCAUCAAUCUGCAUUGAUUACGUCCCUGCCCUUUGUACACACCGCCCGUCGCACCUACCGGUUGGAUGGUCCGGUGAAGCCUCGGGAUUGUGGUUCUUGCCGCUUUAUUGUAGCGUGACCGCGAGAACUUGUCUAAACCUUAUCAUCUAGAGGAAGGUGAAGUCGUAACA
rnacentral:rRNA from 1 species